CAGCUCAAGUUUCUCUUCAUUACGUAUAAAUCUUUCGCCUUUUACUAAAGAUUUCCGUGGACGGGGGACCUUUGUGAGUUUUCCGUAUUUUUGGGGGCUCUGUUGCAAGCAGAGCU